rnacentral:lncRNA from 1 species
ACCUUUUAUUUUUCACCACCAAACCAAAAAUUAAAACAAAACCUGAUGGUUGUUCUGACUUUUUAGACAUAUAUAUACACUUACCGAUUGAUCGACAAUUGGAAUGAGGGAUUGAAGCACCUUAGCGACAUUGAAUUUGAUGUUUGGAACUCUGUGGUAGUAAAAAAUAAUCUUGUUUAUACACUUAAAAUGUUUGAAGCAAAAUCAUGCGAGUCAAUAACUAGUUUACAAUGAGAACUUGCCUGUCUUUAGCCCCGGUCAUCACGACAGGUAAGAGCUUGGAGCAUGUGAUCUCUGACCCCAUCACUGGUGCAAGAAGAGAAACCGCACGCAAAAUGGUCAUACGGUACAGAUAGUGAGGGUUGCUGAUCAUCUCAAGAACCUGCAGAUUAAUGAAAAAAAACAUUGGUUGACUCUAAUAAGAAGGUAAACACUGAUUCUUGUAAAACAUAGACAAACCUGUGGAACUAUAUGCUGCAUUGCCCAUUCAGGACCAAAUUCUUCAGCAAGACGCUUCACAUUGUUGGCAGCAGCCUCGCGGAUUGAGUGGACCUGAAGAGACCGCCGCUUCAAUAUUUAUAAGGAGAAACUGAUUUGUUAUUUAAGAAUAUCUUUGGUUUGAGAGAGAAAGCAGAACCUUGUCUUCUAACCAUUGCAUGCAAAGAGCGCCAAGCUUAUCGUCAAAGAAGCCAACACCUAACUGACUUGCCAACAAAGGUAUGUACUCAAUGAUAGCAAGUCUUACCCUCCAGUGUCUAUCUUCAGCAAGUUCUACAAUUGCUGGCAACAAGGAUUGCGAUAGUAGAUCAAUCCCAAUAACCUGCCAAAUAUAAAAUAUUGGAAUCAUCAAGUGAAAGUCGAUAAGCAAAAAAAGUUGAAUAAUGUUUAUCGGUGAAACCAUUGACAUGAGAAAAUUUUGUUUGGGUAAGUUGGUCAAACCUGGUUCACUUGGUCGAGUUUGCUGAUGAUGUUCAAGCGUACAUCUGGAAACUCAUCUUUCAACAGCGAAAGAAAGAUUGGAAGGAGAUGCUCAAUUGUUGCAUCCUGCAUUGGAAAAAUCAAUGUAAAGGUUAAAGUCUGCAACAUAUACAAUCCAACAAAAAAAAUCUCUCUGUACAACUGAUCACGGUUAUGGGCACUUUCCAGGUACAAUUAUUGGACGAAAAGGCUGAGUUAAAUACUAACGUACAUCUUUCCCAUCACUGUAGAGUCAACACACAUCUAUAUUUGCGAACUGUCUUACCUUACCCAAGACUGGAGCCAUUCCCAUUAUAACUGAAGCCAGUGCAGAUCUGACGUGUUGAGAUGAGUCUGUUGAUAGCUCCUACAGGUAGAAUUAAAAGAAACUAUAAGUACUAUGUAACAGCUUAUAAGUGUCGAGUCAUUGAUUCUUUGAAAAAAAUUGAGAUUCUCACACGGGUCUCUUAGAAUGUACCUUUACGCAGGGGAGAAUGUGCUGAAUAGCAAGUUCAGGGUUUAGGAUCCGACAAAACUUAGUAACUUUUCCAGCAGCUGCUAUGCGUACUUCAGCCUCAUUGUCACGAAGUAGACGCACAUAUGCAGGCACCAGUUCCGUCCUUGAUAUAGAAGGAACAUUAAAUAGUAUUAGGAAGAAGCAAGGGGUAUCAUCAAAUAUAUUGAUAAUCAUACCUCUGAAGAGGUAAUCCACCAAUAUAGAAAUGCAUAUAAUGCAAUAGGCCUAAAGAACUUCAUUAAAACAUACUAAAUGUUUAUCCAAGACUCCUUACCUAGUAGGCUCAGGUCCCACGGCUUCACAAAGCUCAUAGAGCUGAUUUGCUACCAUGUAACGCACACGCCAAGACUUAUCCUGCUCAGUGACAAAGUACAAAGAUUAAACAUCUCAUAAGUGUAGUUUAUCCAAGGAUCAUCAUCAUAAAGACUAUGCAAUUAGCACAAAUGAUUACCUGCGAGAAAUUAACAAUCACGGGAAGAAUGUGCGCAACACAGUCCUGAGGCUCCAACAAUUUCCCAAGAGCAGCACAACCCUCAACCGCCAAUAAUCUAACGGAAUCUUGAUCUGAUAUGAAAGACAAUGAAGAACCGUAAGAUGAAAAUAAUGUUAGAUAACUAAAUAGAUAUGUGGACACUCAUUUUCAUCUUUAUCUUCAGCUAAUGCUCAGUGUGUAAUGCAUUUCAGUGCCUGCUGGCCGUAACUUUUUUUACAUCCAUCCGCCACCCGCAAAAGCAUAUUUAAUACCGACUCGACAAUUACAUGCUUAAACAAGCAGCAAAGCGACAGUGUGAACCAUAACAGAUAAGAAAUUACCAUCUUGAGUAAGAUCAUCAAACAUAGACAUAACGUCGGUCUUCAAGUGAGCUGAUUCAAUAGUAGCAGCAAAUUUCCCCAGAUUGGUUGCUGCAGCUCUUCGCACCAUUGGCAUAUCAUCUUGACAGAGCUGGGUAUAUAUUGAUCUCAACUCAGUCUUCACCGCAUCUGGGGCGCUAGGGUAUGCAAUAUGGAAAACUCCACAAGCUGAUACUCUGGCUGUGAACCAUUCACCAGCUGCAAGUCUCUGUUACAUCAGGGAGAGUAAACUUAAGUAAUUUCCUUAUUUCAACAAUACAAUAUGCAAAGUUCUUAACGAAAAACAUCUACUUGGCUUUCAAUAGAGAUGGCCAGUCACAUAAACAUCCGAAAAAACAAGUCAGCUAGUUAUGCCAGACACCCUAGAAAAACCAGUAUGGUCUUAUUGUUUUCAACCUAGCAGUUGUCUAUUCCAAAACUUUGAGAGGCCAAUAUAACUCCAAUCUCUGUAUAAACAUAUGCAUAUUCCAACUUAUUUCUUAUGAGAGUCUAAUAUAGUUUCAGUCUCUAUAAGAACAUAUGCAUAGUGUAACUUAUUUCUUAUGAGAGUCUAAUACAACUUCAUUCUCUAUAAACAUACGCAUACUGUAACUUAUUUACUAUGACAGUCUAAUAUAACUUUAACUUCGAUCUCUAUAUUAACAUAUGAAUAUUGUAACUUAUUUCCUAUGAGAUUCAAAUAUAACUUCAUUCUCUUCUUAAAUGAGUCUAAUAUAAUCUUUAUCUUUCAAUAUUCUUCAUGAUUCCUCUAUAUUUUCUAGAUAUUUCCUUAUCUUUGUGUUUUCUAUAAUCUGGAUACGGUCGAUAACAUGAGAAAUGAAAUGAAACCACGAGUUGUUAUCCUCCUCUCUUGGCUAACCUUAACCAACGGUAUGAAAUGCUCAACCAAAUCAGUCUCCUUCAUCUGAGACCCAACUCUGCAAAGCGACUCAACAGCUUUCUCCCUCACACAAGUCUCCUCAACCGUGGAGAGAGUCUCCAACGGUGGAAGCAGAACGUGCGCGUGCUCAACGCCACCAACGUAAGGAAUAAACACUCCCAAUUCCUCAGCCAUUGCAAGCAGCACCUCAUCGUCAUCGUCAUUGUUUUCGCUCAGAAAGGGAAUCAGCUCCUUCCUCGUCCUCUCCUCGCCGAGAGCGCGAGCAAUCGUGGAAAGCCUUCUGAUCGAAUUCAACCUUAGCUGAAUGUCAUCGUUUUUAAGCUCGUCUAUGAGGACGGCGAUGGGGUAAAGCGGCUCGUCGGUCAUCGACAUCUUUGAUCAAAAGUUCGAUUCUCACCUAAUACCAUCAGAGAAAUCGCAAACGCGAGCAAUUAGGAGAAGAACCUAGCACAGAUCUUACUAAGGAAGACAAAGAAGAUCUGAAUUGAAUUUACUUCGAUUCGAAUGAAAUGAAAACAGAUUGAAAAAAAAAAAAAAAGCAGAACACAAGAGUUCUCAGUUACUUACGUUACAAAGUCUUGAGAGUUUAGAAUCUUGCAUCAAAUAGAAAACCAGGGACAGAGAUUUAAAAGUUUUUUUUUAGCUCGACAUCAUCACAUUAUCAAUAGAUUGAAGAGCUUGGUUUGCAAAGAACCUGACAUCAACAUCUGGAUCCUCGCUUAGCUCCACAAGCCCUGGACGAAUCGUAUUCUCUACAACCUUUUAUUUUUCACCACCAAACCAAAAAUUAAAACAAAACCUGAUGGUUGUUCUGACUUUUUAGACAUAUAUAUACACUUACCGAUUGAUCGACAAUUGGAAUGAGGGAUUGAAGCACCUUAGCGACAUUGAAUUUGAUGUUUGGAACUCUGUGGUAGUAAAAAAUAAUCUUGUUUAUACACUUAAAAUGUUUGAAGCAAAAUCAUGCGAGUCAAUAACUAGUUUACAAUGAGAACUUGCCUGUCUUUAGCCCCGGUCAUCACGACAGGUAAGAGCUUGGAGCAUGUGAUCUCUGACCCCAUCACUGGUGCAAGAAGAGAAACCGCACGCAAAAUGGUCAUACGGUACAGAUAGUGAGGGUUGCUGAUCAUCUCAAGAACCUG